AUUGCACGCUGGCGGCAGGCUUAACACAUGCAAGUCGAGCGAGCGGCGGACGGGUGAGUAAUGUCUGGGAAACUGCCUGAUGGAGGGGGAUAACUCCUGGAAACGGUAGCUAAUACCGCCUACCUUCAGAUGUGUCCAGAUGGGAUUAGCUAGUAGGUGGGGUAAUGGCUCACUUAGGCGACGAUCCCUAGCUGGUCUGAGAGGAUGACCAGCAAAACUGGAAGUGAGACACGGUCCAAACUCCUACGGGAGGCAGCAGGGGGGAAUAUUGGACAAUGGGCGCAAGGCUGAUGCAGCCAUGCCGCGUGUGUGAAGAAGGCCUUCGGGUUGUAAAGCACUUUCAGCGAGGAGGCGUUACUCGCAGAAGAAGCACCGGCUAACUCCGUGCCAGCAGCCGCGGUAAUAC
rnacentral:rRNA from 1 species